rnacentral:tRNA from 1 species
GCGUCCAUAGCUCAGCUGGAUAGAGCAACGGCCUUCUAAGCCGUAGGUCGCAGGUUCGAAUCCUGCUGGACGUAACA